CUGGCUCAGAUUGAACGCUGGCGGCAGGCCUAACACAUGCAAGUCGAAUGGUAACAGGAAACAGCUUGCUGUUUCGCUGACGAGUGGCGGACGGGUGAGUAAUGUCUGGGAAACUGCCUGAUGGAGGGGGAUAACUACUGGAAACGGUAGCUAAUACCGCAUAACGUCGCAAGACCAAAGAGGGGGACCUUCGGGCCUCUUGCCAUCAGAUGUGCCCAGAUGGGAUUAGCUAGUAGGUGGGGUAACGGCUCACCUAGGCGACGAUCCCUAGCUGGUCUGAGAGGAUGACCAGCCACACUGGAACUGAGACACGGUCCAGACUCCUACGGGAGGCAGCAGUGGGGAAUAUUGCACAAUGGGCGCAAGCCUGUAUGCAGCCAUGCCGCGUGUAUGAAGAAGGCCUUCGGGUUGUAAAGUACUUUCAGCGGGGAAGAAGGGAGUAAAGUUAAUACCUUUGCUCAUUGACGUUACCCGCAGAAGAAGCACCGGCUAACUCCGUGCCAGCAGCCGCGGUAAUACGGAGGGUGCAAGCGUUAAUCGGAAUUACUGGGCGUAAAGCGCACGCAGGCGGUUUGUUAAGUCAGAUGUGAAAUCCCCGGGCUCAACCUGGGAACUGCAUCUGAUACUGGCAAGCUUGAGUCUCGUAGAGGGGGGUAGAAUUCCAGGUGUAGCGGUGAAAUGCGUAGAGAUCUGGAGGAAUACCGGUGGCGAAGGCGGCCCCCUGGACGAAGAG
rnacentral:rRNA from 1 species